rnacentral:rRNA from 1 species
CACCAGGUUGAUUCUGCCUGACGUAGAUGCUAGUCUCUAAGAUUAAGCCAUGCAUGUCUAUGUAACAAGGACGAACAGCUCAGUACAACUGCGAUGAUUUAGUCUGUCUGUGUGCGAUAACUACGUGAAAAUGUAGCUAAGAGGGGACAGAAUAAGACCCAGGACUAUCAGUUAGUUGGUAGUGUAAUGGACUACCAAGACGAUGACGGUUGACGGGGAAUCAGGGUUCUGUACCGGAGAGGGAGCCUGAGAGAUUGCUCCCACGUCCAAGGACGGCAGCAGGCGCGAAAAUUGCCCACUGUUGUAGGAGGCAGUUAUGAGACGUGAAGAUGAGUGCUUGGCAAAGAGAAGCAGGAGAAUUGGAGGGCAAGUUUGGUGCCAGCAGCCGCGGUAAUACCGACUCCAAGAGUGUGUGUGAGAGAUGCUGCAGUUAAAAAGUCCGUAGUCGUAGAAACGUAAACAGAGACUGGGUCUCUAGCAGAAGUGAUGGAAAAGCCAAUGGGGAACAUAGUAUACCAGGGCGAGAGAUGAAAUGUCAAGACCCCUGGUGGACUCA